CUAUAGAGAGCCUUUCUUACUGCUGCACUGACUGCCUUGAUUUUCAUCAUGUCAUACUGUGACCAUGCAAAGCAGGCAAAGGCGGGGGAAGUAGAACAGAAAGAACCACAUCAAAUAAUGAGGAAAAGGCCUGAGGUGCGGAGGAGGUGCCUGGGAAAGCAAUUCGCCGCUGCAGUGCACAUCCGGAUGGAGGCUGCUCCAGAUGGCUUCUCAAGUUCAGCCCCAAGGCCUGGCGAGUGACCACUGCCACAGAUCUCCAUUCAUGUGUCUCAGUAGCCCCUUUUUUCCUACCUACCACAAAGUGCUCUCAGUGAGCCCUAGGGUGUCUGGCUGGGAGCAUAUGAAGAUGGAGUUCUCAGAAAAGAGCAAGAGGAAAGAUCAACCUCAGCAGGUGCAGUGAACUACUAUGGACUACAUAUUAUGCUAAGUGUUGGGGAAGAUGAGGAAGAUAAAUAUCUGAUCUUAGGAUCUGAAGUAUAGAAAAAGAGGCAGUUAUAUAAGAGAAAAUUAAUCACAGUAGACAAUGAGACAUUACUGCAUAAUUUCAUUUAUAUGCCAUUUUGGGAAAAGACAAACUAGAGAUGAAAAAUGGGGUGAUUGGCAGGAAUUGGGGGCAGGGAUUGUGAAGGCUUUGGGAGAUAAUGAAAUGUA
rnacentral:lncRNA from 1 species